rnacentral:rRNA from 1 species
AGAGUUUGAUCAUGGCUCAGAGCGAACGCUGGCGGAAUGCUUAACACAUGCAAGUCGCACGGGGGCUUCGGCCUUAGUGGCGGACGGGUGAGUAACGCGUAGGAACGUGUCUUGGGGUGGGGGAUAACGCUGGGAAACUGGCGCUAAUACCGCAUGUCUGCUGCGGCAGAAAGCCUUCGGGUGCCUUGAGAGCGGCCUGCGUCCGAUUAGCUAGUUGGUGGGGUAAAGGCUUACCAAGGCUUCGAUCGGUAGCUGGUCUGAGAGGACGAUCAGCCACACUGGGACUGAGACACGGCCCAGACUCCUACGGGAGGCAGCAGUGGGGAAUAUUGGGACAAUGGGCGGAAGCCUGAUCCAGCAAUUCCGCGUGGGUGAAGAAGGUCUUCGGAUUGUAAAGCCCUUUCGACAGGGACGAUGAUGACGGUACCUGUAGAAGAAGCCCCGGCUAACUUCGUGCCAGCAGCCGCGGUAAUACGAAGGGGGCUAGCGUUGCUCGGAAUUACUGGGCGUAAAGGGCGCGUAGGCGGCUGUGUUAGUCAGGCGUGAAAUUCCUGGGCUCAACCUGGGGACUGCGCUUGAUACGGCAUGGCUUGAGGAUGGAAGAGGCUCGCGGAAUUCCCAGUGUAGAGGUGAAAUUCGUAGAUAUUGGGAAGAACACCGGUGGCGAAGGCGGCGAGCUGGUCCAUUACUGACGCUGAGGCGCGACAGCGUGGGGAGCAAACAGGAUUAGAUACCCUAGUAGUCC